rfam:Tupaia chinensis contig173167, whole genome shotgun sequence.
UAAAAGGCUCUUUUCAGAGCCACUUAAAAGUUUCUUCGGGAGAACU